rnacentral:rRNA from 1 species
UACGAAGGGGGCUAGCGUUGCUCGGAAUCACUGGGCGUAAAGGGUGCGUAGGCGGGUCUUUAAGUCAGGGGUGAAAUCCUGGAGCUCAACUCCAGAACUGCCUUUGAUACUGAAGAUCUUGAGUUCGGGAGAGGUGAGUGGAACUGCGAGUGUAGAGGUGAAAUUCGUAGAUAUUCGCAAGAAACACCAGUGGCGAAGGGCGGCUCACUGGCCCGAUACUGACGCUGAGGCACGGAAAGCGUGGGAGCAAACAGGG